UGAAUACGAGACGCUAAGGCGUCGAAGUAGUGUAUGUCAUACUUCCAAGAAAAGCUUGCACUGUCAUAGAUAAAAAACGCCUGUACCAUAACCGACACAGGUGGGUAGGUAGAGUAUACUAAGGGGCGCGAGAUAACUCUCUCUAAGGAACUCGGCAAAAUAACUCCGUAACUUCGGGAAGGAGUGCCUUAUUCGUAAGGUUGCAAUAACAAGAUCCAAGCAACUGUUUAUCAAAAACACAGGUCUCCGCUAAGUCGUAAGACGAUGUAUGGGGGCUGACGCCUGCCCAGUGCCAGAAGGUUAAAGAAGUUGGUUAGCAAUUGCGAAGCUGAUAACUGAAGCCCUGGUGAACGGCGGCCGUAACGAUAACGGUCCUAAGGUAGCGAAAUUCCUUGUCGGGUAAGUUCCGACCCGCACGAAAGGCGUAAUGAUUUGGAUACUGUCUCGGAGAGGGGCUCGGUGAAAUAGACUUGUCUGUGAAGAUGCGGACUACCUGCACCAGGACAGAAAGACCCUAUGAAGCUUUACUGUAACUUGAAAUUGAAAUUGGACUUUAUUCGCGCAGUAUAGGUGGGAGGCGUUGAUUAUAAUCUUGUGGGAUUAUUGGAGCCAUCAGUGAGAUACCACUCUUGUAAUGUUAGAUUUCUAACUUUGAAUCAUUAUCUGGUCAAAGAACAGUUUCAGGCGGGCAGUUUGACUGGGGCGGUCGCCUCCUAAACGGUAACGGAGGCGUACAAAGGUUUCCUCUGAACGGUUAGAAAUCGUAUCUAGAGUGUAAAGGCAUAAGGAAGCUUGACUGUGAGACCUACAAGUCGAGCAGGGACGAAAGUCGGUCUUAGUGAUCUGACGGUACUGAGUGGAAAGGCCGUCACUCAACGGAUAAAAGUUACUCUAGGAUAACAGGCUGAUCUCCCCCAAGAGUUCACAUCGACGGGGAGGUUUGGCACCUCGAUGUCGGCUCAUCGCAUCCUGGGGCGGUAGUACGUCCCAAGGGUUGGGCUGUUCGCCCAUGAAAGCGGUACGCGAGCUGGGUUCAGAACGUCGUGAGACAGUUCGGUCCAUAUCCGGUGUAGGCGUUAGAAUAUUGAGAGGAGCCUUCUUUAGUACGAGAGGACCGAGAAGGACAUACCUCUGGUGUACCAGUUAUCGUGCCAACGGUAAACGCUGGGUAGCUAUGUAUGGAGUGGAUAACCGCUGAAAGCAUCUAAGUGGGAAGCCCACCUCAAGAUAAGUAUUCUCAUC
rnacentral:rRNA from 1 species